rnacentral:rRNA from 1 species
UGGGGAAUAUUGGACAAUGGGCGAAAGCCUGAUCCAGCCAUGCCGCGUGUGUGAAGAAGGUUUUCGGUUUGUAAAGCACUUUAAGUUGGGAGGAAGGGCAGUAAGCGAAUACCUUGCUGUUUUGACGUUACCGACAGAAUAAGCACCGGCUAAUUCUGUGCCAGCAGCCGCGGUAAUACAGAGGGUGCACGCGUUAAUCGGAAUUACUGGGCGUAAAGCGCGCGUAGGUGGUUCGUUAAGUUGAAUGUGAAAGCGCCGGGCUCAACCUGGGAACUGCAUACAAGACUGGCGAGCUAGAGUAGGGCAGAGGGUGGUGGAAUGUCCUGUGUAGCGGUGAAAUGCGUAGAUAUAGGAAGGAACACCAGUGGCGAAGGCGACCACAUGGGCUCAAACUGACACUGAGGUGCGAAAGCGUGGGGAGCAAACAGG